CACAGCUACAGUCUGGGAGAGAAAGGAAGUAGGACUCUACAACUGCUACAGGGAUGGAAAAUGAAACCUUGAUAACGAAAUGGGAAUGAGGAAAGGAACCCUGCAAACAUGAGGCUUCUCAAAGGCACGCAUGCAAGGGCCACACAGUCACAAGUGUGAGGAGACAGAGAACCAUGAACAGCUGCUCUGCUGAGGGGAGACACCAUCUUCCUCAUUAAGCUACACAAACUGAAUCCCUCCAAGACCACCCAAGAUCAGCCCUGAAUUACAGACUGGCUGAAAGUCCAAAGCUGGAUAAUCCACCACACCAAGUUAUUUUUCAAAAUGGCAUAUUGGCACACUUGCAAACAAACUAGAAGCAAUCACCCAUAAUCACAAGGUUGACUGCCUGGGUGCAGGAGGGACCCCGGACAACUGGGCAGCGAUGGAUGCAGGGGACCAAAUGACAAAGUAAAUGUAAGGACUCAAAACACUGGGUUAAAAAUUAUCUCCCCCACCACCAACUUCUGGAUGCUGUGAUGCAUACCUAGACACCACCAAAGAUGCUCUCGGAGGUGAAGAGUAUGCACCUGGCCUGUCAGCAGCUGUAACUGUUGGGUGACUUUCCAGUCAAGACAGAUGCAUGAACAAGCAACUCCUCGGAUUUCAAAAACCUAAAAAUGUAUAUAUAGACUUUUGUUUUGUUUUUUUGU